CUAUGUUCCUUGAAUUUCAUUUAAAAAAAUAUUUUGGUAACUGUAUUUCAACCUAAUCCAUUGCCUUUGUUAUCCUAUGAUUUUGUUUUGUGAACCUAAAGAGUGAUUGACUGAAUGGCUCAGAGGACUGUGAACUACCUUGUGCUGAAAUCAGGGCCUUACCUCAAGCUUGAGUAGGAGCUCCUCACUCUGGGAUUACACUGGCUAGUCACACUGCAGACUGCUUUAUGCUGGGGUUCAGGUCCUCAUUGCAGGCUUGGGAAGGGGCUAUAGGCCUCCCCUUAGAAUUGCCCUCACUGUCACAGUAAGGACUCCCUUGUGUUAGGGCAGGAGUUUCAUUGCAGGCUUGUGCUGGGGCUUGGGACCUCAAGGGACGAUCAUGGAUGUCCUCUGCUAUUGGCUUAGGAAGGAUCUAGGGGUCUCAAGGUUGCUUGGGGCCCAGGUUCAGGACCUGGAGCAGUUGGGCUGGGGUGAGGGAGCUCACUGAUGGCUUUUGUUCUUAUUAAAGAACAACACAUAGUGGGAGCAGGUAGAGAAGAGAGAAGCAUCAUGACAUCAGCAGAACACACAGCAGCUUUGUGUCAUCACAGGCAUGAGGUUCUCUGUAUCCAUGAAGCAAUGAGCCAAGAAAGUAAGCAGGACCAUACUCCCUUCCUUUUAAUCUAUUCCCUUAAGGGAAUAUGCUGACUUCUCUCACAGAUACCUUGUUGCAGGGAAGCUGAAAACUUAAAAGGUUUCAUCAAUGACUCUUUUUAUUUUCUUCAAGAAGACACAAGGGUUACUUUCAAAAGGUUGAAACAACAGAUUGAUGUACUUCAGGCUAGAGUAAAAGCUGCUGGAGCAAAUAUGUAUGACACCAAUGGCACUCGAGAGGAGCUUAACACAAAGUAACUGCAAGGAGUCUCCCUCUGCCAAUGGGAAAUGCAGGAUUCGCUGGACCGAGUACUUGCAAAAAUCUCUGAGAAACUGCAGCAAAGAAAGCUGAAUGUCGGAGGAGUGCUGCUUCAGAAAGCUGUGAAAGAUUGGAUUAAAACGGAACUGGGAUACUGGCCUGAACAAAAUAGGAAGCAGCAUCCAAAAGUCACCAGAUUAAACUUGCACCUCGUUUGAGGUUCAGAAAUGUCUGACCUUUUUUCUUUUGCUUUUUUAAAAAUCUGUAUUCCAUGUGACACCUCAGUGCCUCUUAGAAACUGAAGUUGUAUAAACACUGAAAAUGAGGCUGUUCUCUUGGCUUCCAUAGACCCCAUUAAAGAAAGAAUUCCCAGCUCAAUACUUGAGACCCGAGGUCCUAAGCCUAGACUAUUCAUACUCAGUGUACUUAUGUUCCUCAAUAGAUUCCCCUUUAGGCUAUCGGGGAUGUGAAGGAGGAAAGGCUAUUUGAAAGGAAAUGUCUCUUUUUUUUAAAAUAUAGAUUUUUGUUACCUCUUGCUUUUGCAUUGCCUAGAUUUCACCUUGUCUCCUUCUUCCUCCUGCCCCCUGAUGGCCAACUGCUUUUAACAAAUACCUAAAAAUAAAAAAUUAAAAAAAAAAAAGGAAAGUGGAAGC
rnacentral:lncRNA from 1 species